UACGUAGGUGGCAAGCGUUGUCCGGAUUUACUGGGCGUAAAGCGGGUUCGGGGGGUUUGGCAAGUCGGGCUUGAAAUCUCUCGGCUCAACCGGGAGAGGUUGUCCGAUACUGCUGGACUUGAGGGCAGUAGAGGGUGGUGGAAUUCCGGGUGUAGUGGUGAAAUGCGUAGAUAUCCGGAGGAACACCAGUGGCGAAGGCGACUUCCUGGCCUGUUCUUGACGCUGAGGCGCGAAAGCUGGGGGAGCAAACGGG
rnacentral:rRNA from 1 species